CAUCCGGUCGAUCAUUCCGGAGCGGGAAGGCCUCCCCAAGGAGGAAGCCAUGCAUGCCCGCUCAUCCUGAACGCGAGGGACGGCUCAGUACAUCGAUUCCACCCCCCUAUGCGGUCCCUGUUAUCCGUACUCCGCUGGCAACCCGGCAACAAUACAUGCGAGCAAGGGGGAGCGCCAGCGGACGAGCAGCGUGAGGCAACGAGGG
rnacentral:rRNA from 1 species